UACGUAGGGGGCAAGCGUUGUCCGGAAUCAUUGGGCGUAAAGCGCGUGUAGGCGGGCCGGCACGUCCGUGGCUGAAAGCCCCCGGCUCAACCGGGGAAGGGGCGCGGAUACGACCGGCCUGGAGGGGGGUAGGGGGACCUGGAACUUCCGGUGGAGCGGUGAAAUGCGUUGAGAUCGGAAGGAACGCCCGUGGCGAAAGCGAGGUCCUGGACCCUUUCUGACGCUGAGACGCGAAAGCCAGGGGAGCGAACGGG
rnacentral:rRNA from 1 species